CAGCAGUGGUUGGCAGUUUUCCUCAACUUUGCAAGAGAGAGAGAGAUUCGGUUGGAAUGAAACCUUGCUCUCCGUACAGCCUGCUUGAGAUGCAGCAUUGAAAGAUCACUCACGAUCAGUUUGUGGCCUUCCUCUGAAGGAACCUUUCCUGUCUCUUGUACACAGCCUCUCUCUGUUCCCUGCCCCAAUGAACGUCUGCACUAGGUCCAAG
rnacentral:lncRNA from 14 species